UGAGUAACCUGCCCUUAACUCUGGGAUAAGCCUGGGAAACUGGGUCUAAUACCGGAUAUGACUCCUCAUCGCAUGGUGGGGGGUGGAAAGCUUUUUGUGGUUUUGGAUGGACUCGCGGCCCAUCAGCUUGUUGGUGAGGUAAUGGCUUACCAAGGCGACGACGGGUAGCCGGCCUGAGAGGGUGACCGGCCACACUGGGACUGAGACACGGCCCAGACUCCUACGGGAGCAG
rnacentral:rRNA from 1 species